CAGUGGGGAAUAUUGCACAAUGGGCGAAAGCCUGAUGCAGCGACGCCGCGUGAGGGAUGACGGCCUUCGGGUUGUAAACCUCUUUCGCCAGGGACGAAGCGCAAGUGACGGUACCUGGAUAAGAAGCACCGGCUAACUACGUGCCAGCAGCCGCGGUAAUACGUAGGGUGCGAGCGUUGUCCGGAUUUAUUGGGCGUAAAGAGCUCGUAGGCGGUUUGUCGCGUCGGCCGUGAAAUCUCCACGCUUAACGUGGAGCGUGCGGUCGAUACGGGCAGACUUGAGUUCGGUAGGGGAGACUGGAAUUCCUGGUGUAGCGGUGAAAUGCGCAGAUAUCAGGAGGAACACCGGUGGCGAAGGCGGGUCUCUGGGCCGAUACUGACGCUGAGGAGCGAAAGCGUGGGGAGCGAACAGGAUUAGAUACCCUGGUAGUCCACGCUGUAAACGUUGGGCGCUAGGUGUGGGCGACAUCCACGUUGUCCGUGCCGUAGCUAACGCAUUAAGCGCCCCGCCUGGGGAGUACGGCCGCAAGGCUAAAACUCAAAGGAAUUGACGGGGGCCCGCACAAGCGGCGGAGCAUGUGGAUUAAUUCGAUGCAACGCGAAGAACCUUACCUGGGCUUGACAUGCGCCAGACAUCCCCAGAGA
rnacentral:rRNA from 1 species